UGGGGAAUUUUGGACAAUGGGGGCAACCCUGAUCCAGCCAUGCCGCGUGCAGGAUGAAGGCCUUCGGGUUGUAAACUGCUUUUGUACGGAACGAAAAGCCUCUUCCUAAUACGCAGGGGUGAUGACGGUACCGUAAGAAUAAGCACCGGCUAACUACGUGCCAGCAGCCGCGGUAAUACGUAGGGUGCAAGCGUUAAUCGGAAUUACUGGGCGUAAAGCGUGCGCAGGCGGUGAUGUAAGACAGAGGUGAAAUCCCCGGGCUCAACCUGGGAACUGCCUUUGUGACUGCAUCGCUGGAGUACGGCAGAGGGGGAUGGAAUUCCGCGUGUAGCAGUGAAAUGCGUAGAUAUGCGGAGGAACACCGAUGGCGAAGGCAAUCCCCUGGGCCUGUACUGACGCUCAUGCACGAAAGCGUGGGGAGCAAACA
rnacentral:rRNA from 1 species